rfam:Salmo salar isolate Sally breed double haploid chromosome ssa27, whole genome shotgun sequence.
UUCCCUGUGGCUCAGUUGGUAGAGCAUGGUGUUUGCAACGCCAGGGUUGUGGGUUCAAUUCCCACGGGGGACC